rnacentral:lncRNA from 1 species
CACGUCCACCUCCCAGUAGUGGCGGCCACAGGUAAAGCGAGGGGAGCCCAGGAUGCAAACGGACACGUCAAAUCUCUCGGCAAGGUCUUGCCGAUUCUGUGUGAUGAGCCCACUUCGGACGCUCCUGAGGUCGUCAGAAAUGAGGAGGAAGUUGUUGGCUGUGUCGGCAUCCAAGGUCAUAUCCACUGUGAAAAGGAAAACAAGUUGCUCAGCAAGUGGACAGAAGCCAACCCCAUGCCUCUCUUCUACUUCAAAGGCCCAAAUAUCUCCUGACUUUAGUUUCUUUAAUUCUGUUUCUUCCUCCAAAAUCAAAACUUUUCAUGAGGAAACUUCCCUAUUUCAAAUUUUCAUAGGUAUGCUUUGUGGCAAUACGUGACUCUUAUUCACAGUAGCAAUUCUUAUUUUACUUUACGUCACGUGUUUGCUUCACUGA